rnacentral:rRNA from 1 species
GAUGAACGCUGGCGGCGUGCUUAACACAUGCAAGUCGAACGGUGAAGCAGAGCUUGCUCUGUGGAUCAGUGGCGAACGGGUGAGUAACACGUGAGCAACCUGCCCCUGACUCUGGGAUAAGCGCUGGAAACGGCGUCUAAUACUGGAUAUGAGCUGCGACCGCAUGGUCAGCAGUUGGAAAGAUUUUUCGGUCUGGGAUGGCUCACGGCCUAUCAGCUUGUUGGUGAGGUAAUGGCUCACCAAGGCGUCGACGGGUAGCCGGCCUGAGAGGGUGACCGGCCACACUGGGACUGAGACACGGCCCAGACUCCUACGGGAGGCAGCAGUGGGGAAUAUUGCACAAUGGGCGAAAGCCUGAUGCAGCAACGCCGCGUGAGGGAUGACGGCCUUCGGGUUGUAAACCUCUUUUAGCAGGGAAGAAGCGAAAGCGACGGUACCUGCAGAAAAAGCGCCGGCUAACUACGUG